rnacentral:sRNA from 1 species
AAAAACGGUAUUUUGUUUACAUUGUUUACAUCCAAUAUUUCUACGGAGCUGAAGUGAGACGAAUAUGGAUUUUAGUUUCUGGAUUAUAGAAGUGUUAAUUUAGUUCAUCAUCAUGAUAACUUAAAGGGUUGUAAACAGAAAAUGUUUCACAUGCAAGCCAAAUGAAUCAACUUAAACGAUGAUGGACACUAAAAUCUACUAUGUCUACACAAAAAUUGAAAUAUUUACACCAGACAGAUCAGAGACAGUGCUUGAAAUAUUUAAAUUUUGCAAAACAAGAGGGUGAAAGUGCAAUUGCAAAAAACAGACCAACAAAUGCAACAAAUUAAAACUAAAGUUGACAAGGGAUGAUUUUCUUUAGCAGAAUUUCUUUCAUCCUUGAAGAUAAACAGCUAUGUUAGCCACUUUGUUCCACAGAAAAGAAGAGCUGGCUUUCAAUUAAAACUGAAAAUCUUAUCAAAUAGAAUUCAAAAUUAUAUAUAUAAUUAUAUAUAGGGAUAUUUGGGUUAAAUACAAAGGUACAAACAAGUAUUUUCUGAACUGUUUCAAAGCAAAUGUGUGCCUGACUUAUACUCUGUUUACUUUGAAAUAAAAUGUGUUCAUAUGUCAAUGCUGAUGCAUAAUGAUUUAUUACCACUUGAACAUUUGAAUUGUUGAAUUAUUUUCAGUGAAAAUUAUUACAUCUUGAAUAAAUGUACAAGAAAAUUAAUGAUGGCAAAAAUUAAAGUUGAUAUUCAU